UGGGGAAUAUUGCACAAUGGGCGCAAGCCUGAUGCAGCAACGCCGCGUGAACGAUGAAGGUCUUCGGAUCGUAAAGUUCUGUUGCAGGGGAAGAUAAUGACGGUACCCUGUGAGGAAGCCCCGGCUAACUACGUGCCAGCAGCCGCGGUAAUACGUAGGGGGCUAGCGUUAUCCGGAUUUACUGGGCGUAAAGGGUGCGUAGGUGGUCUUUCAAGUCGGUGGUUAAAGGCUACGGCUCAACCGUAGUUAGCCUCCGAAACUGGAAGACUUGAGUGCAGGAGAGGAAAGUGGAAUUCCCAGUGUAGCGGUGAAAUGCGUAGAUAUCGGGAGGAACACCAGUAGCGAAGGCGGCUUUCUGGACUGCAACUGACACUGAGGCACGAAAGCGUGGGUAGCAAACAGG
rnacentral:rRNA from 1 species